UAGAGUUCAGGAAGAGAACAAGGGGAAGUGAAGCAUCCUGGGACAGACAACAAAGGAAAGCAAUCUUUAACGUGGAGCCACAAAAGCACAAAGGAAGGGAGUUGUUCCUGGGCUCCAGCUCGAGUUAAGGCACAUGCAGAGGAAGGCAGCAGCCUCUGCCAAACCGCAGCCAGCAGAGAGCUCACCAGGGGAAUUAAUACUCUGACCUCCUCACCUCCCACCCUCCAACCUCUUGCCAGUACCGCCCACUGGCUGAUGGCAACCAGAAGGCAGGGAAGGGAGCUGGGCUGAUGCAGUUUGUAAAACUCAACCUCCUAGGGCAUAGAGCAGAUGGAGAAAGGGGGAGAGUGGGCCUGGAGAGACAAAGAGUAUCUAGCUCUCCUGAGAAUCAGCAAGUGGCUGGAUUUUAACAGCAUAAACUUGGGACUAUAAGGCAGCCAAAGGCCAAGGAGAAAGAACUAUUAUUAGACAGCAGAGGGCAGCAGAUAAGGGGCCACACGAAGGCCCUAAGGGUUCUUCCCCCUCCCACAGGUAAUUCCUUCCUGGGGCCCAGCUGUUUCUGCCUGUGUAUCGAGGUUCUUUGAAAUUGUAACACAUUUGUUUUGCUUAAGAUGCCUCUAGUAAGUUUGUUUCUUACAACCAAAGAAUCUUUACUUAAUAAUAUGGAAGAAUGAAAAGGCAAAAAUUAUUUAGGAAAAUAUUUCAAAGAGGUAUAAAGAUAUCAACAACAAAAAUGAAUUAUAAAGCUACAAUAGUUAAAAUGAAUGUACCAGCACAAGAAUCAAUGGAAUGGAAUGGAUAGCACAGAAACAGACAUACCAUAUGAUAAACAUCUAUAGACAGAAAAAGUAUGUCUUAGUCUGUUUGGGCUGCUCUAACAAAUUACCAUAGAAUAGGUGGCUUGGGCAACAAACAUUUAUUUCUCACAGUUCUGAAGGCUGAGAAGUCCAAGAUCAAGGUGCCAGCCAGCAGAUCUGGUACCUGGUGAGAACCUGCUUCCUGGUUUGCAGAUGGCCGUCUUCUCAUGGUAUCCUCAUGAGAUAGAGGAAGCAAGCUGUCUUGUGUCUCUUCUUAUAAGGACACUAAUCCCAUCAUGAGGGCUCCACUCUCAUGACUUUACCUCUCAAAGACCCCACCUCCAAAUACCAUCACAUUGGGGGUUCUGACAUAUGAAUUUUGGGGAGACACAAAAUCAGUCCAUAACAAAUAAAGUGAAGAAAACUAGUGUGUGUAUGGGAACCAUAAGUUAGAGCCUCAUCUCACAGAUACACCAAAAAGAAUUCCAUACACUGAAAAACAAUUCUUUUUCCACUGAAAAGAAAAAGAUUAGAGCAGCAGCUUUCAAAUGUCUCACCCACAGAAACACAUGUUACAUUGCAACCUGGUAUAUACAUACGCCCCUCUAAAACAAUCACCCUUAAGUACAUGCAAUGCACUGAUAUUUUCUAUUAAUACUAAUGAUCAUUUCUACCUUGAAAAACGGUGGUUGCAACCCACUUCCUUUCACAAUGCACUGAUAAAUCACAACCAGUUACUAGAGAGGUAAGUGUAAAAAAUGAAGAUAUAAAACGACUAGAACAAAACACAAGGAGUAUCUUCCUAAAGGGAAGUC
ensembl:lncRNA